UACGUAGGGUGCAAGCGUUAAUCGGAAUUACUGGGCGUAAAGCGUGCGCAGGCGGCUUUGCAAGACAGAGGUGAAAUCCCCGGGCUCAACCUGGGAACUGCCUUUGUGACUGCAAGGCUUGAGUGCGGCAGAGGGGGGAUGGAAUUCCGCGUGUAGCAGUGAAAUGCGUAGAUAUGCGGAGGAACACCGAUGGCGAAGGCAAUCCCCUGGGCCUGCACUGACGCUCAUGCACGAAAGCGUGGGGAGCAAACAGG
rnacentral:rRNA from 1 species